AAAAACCCUAACUAAGCAUCUCCAACAAAGCAAAGCAACAAUAAAAUUAACCCUUUCUCUCUUCCUCUUCAUCAUCAUCGCUCACACUAUCCAUCAAAUUUGAUUUUCUUUCUUCCCUAAAACUUCCAACAAUCGAGCAAAAAGGAUUCACAUCUUCAAUCUCAAUUCUCAAAUAAGCAAAAUCAAAGUGUCAACCUCAAAUCCUCAAUCUUGAGAUUGAAAAUCUAAGGUAAAGUGAGUAUUUCAAUUUUUCGAUAUUCUAUUCUCUUUUUUUCAGCUGAACCCUAAAACCCCAAUUUGUUAAAACUUCUAUUUUCUCAAUUCCUUUAUAAUCAAUUGGUGUGAAGAACAAUAGUAUUUAGUUGUGAUUUUCAUCUGUUAUGUUCCGUAGGUUAUUGUAUGUCUUGGAUUUGUUCAUCUAACUUUGAUAGUGUGUUUUUGGUGUUGGUGAUAUGGUUAUUUGUUUGGGUAGUGUCCUGCUCCUGCUAUAUUAUGCAAGUGUUAAUAUGAGUUCCACUCUUUGAAGCACGGUGUCGGACACCGACACUUAUAGUUACAUUGAAUUGUGUUAUUUUUUCAAAUUAUUAUCGGUGUCGACGUGUCAGUGUCCGUGCUUCAUAAGUUCCACUAGACCUCACUGAAUUAUAAUUUCAAAGUUAGAAGAAUUGCAUUAUGAUAUGGUCACGGGUUUGGAUGUGAAAUUGGCUUAGACUCACAGUGCAUUGUUUCGUCCUUCAACUUCAAUUGGCACUUGUUGCUUGUGCUAAGACUCACAAAAAUGUUAGUGGUUUUUUAAGUAAGGUCAAUAUGCAUGUUAAUUUCAUACGAUCUUCUAAUAAGAGACAAGAAUUGCUUUGAGACAAACAAUUAACUUAGUUCGCUAAAUUUCUUUCAUGUUUAGCCACACUAGUAGUAUUAAAUGUCUGGAUCCGCCCCUGCUGAUUUCAUAAGCUAUAUUGGAAAACUGAAAGAAAAAAGAAAAAACUUAUUUUUCAUUAGUCAUGCCAAACAGUCUCACAAAACUUAUGUCAGUAGAUAAGAUCAAAUAAGUCAAUC
rnacentral:lncRNA from 1 species